CUGGAAGGGGUGAUACAGGAAAAGACAAGCCCAGGAGGUGGACUAGGUCCCAUUUCAGUGUGCCGGGCGCACAAAUGGUCUCAAGGCCGGACGCACAGGAAGUGACUCACGCGUUGGGCCAUCUGAUAGGACAGUUCCAGGGAAUGCUGGGAAGACAGGCAUCAGCCGAUAAAGCCCUCAUACGUAGACGGUCGGUCAUACAUCUCAGCGGAAGGAUCACAUCCCCGGAGGGACUCGGCGGUGGGGAAACUGAGGCCCAGGAAGGGCAACAGCGAAGGAGUUGUGCUGGGAUCCGAAUCCAGUGACUGCAGCGCCGAGCCCGGUCCAUGUGACUGCCCCGCCGUAGCCCCGAAACAUGCUUUGGAGAAAACGGAGCAGGCCCUGGGCGAGUGCUCUAGAAACACCAGCCAAUAAUCGCUUCCGAAAUCUGAGGGGCUCGUCUGUAUCUCACUGCAGGCGUCCGGGGACGCCAGCUGCAGGGUCACGGCCAUCAUCUGCGGCUGCGCUUCAGGGCGGUGUAUCGGCCGCUCUGCUCCGGCUGCAGCGCACCACUCGCUCGCCGCUCCUCACACUCACUUUCUAUUCAUCCUUAUCUGCCAUUUCGCUAAGUGACGAUCCCGCCCGGACAGAA